ensembl:lncRNA
UGUGCUUAAUUGGUCUGGAUAGUAGUAUACAUUGUAUAUUGUUCUCAAUCACUUAGUAAGUUUUAUCUUAUUUAUUAAAGAAUUAUUUCCAUCCAUUUUCCCCAACACUUAACCUUUCAAAUUUUAUGCAGAAUGCAAUGCUAAGUUUAUAGUGAGCUUUGUUAUUUGUGAACCUUAUUAUAAGGAUAUAUUAAGAAUAAAGAGCCUUAGGAGUUCCUGUUGUGGCUCAAUGGAUGAACCCAACUAGUAUCUGCAAGAAUGCAGGUUCAAUCCCUGACCCUGAAGCUCUGAUUUGACCCCUAGCCUGAGAACUUCCAUUUACCGCAGGUGUGGCCCUAAAAAGAAAAAAAAGAAAAGAAUAAAGAGCCUUGAUUCUUAACCUUCAAUUCUAGUACCAAGGAUCUCUCACUGUGGCAAAUAGUUGGUGAGCCCUUUGUGUAGUUUAUGAUAAAGCUGCUACUAUACUAUAAUACUUUUAUUCUUAAAAGAUUUUCACCUAAAUUCAUACUUUCAUUCUCAUGUUGUAUCUCCUGAGCAGGCAUUUUAUUCUGAAUAAGCAGAGGAGGAAAAUGAAGAGCAUGGGUUUUGCUCAAACAACAAAGCAACAACGCGUGGCAAAAGGAUUGUCAAAGAAGAAAGACUGUGUAAUGAAUUAUGGCACUCAGGACGACCGUGAAGGACAGUUGGGAAAACAAAGGGCUUUCGUCCGAUAGGAUGUUCUGUGGAACAAGGUCACAGACACAGAAGAUCGGCCCUGUGGAUCUUUUACUUACACCUGGAAAACCAUUGGGAAAACCCUCUCCUUUUUCUAUCACUGCCAGGGAGCCCAAAUCUCAAGGCUACGGCAAGUCCGGACAAGUCAAACGAGAAGACAGAAGAGUGUUGCAUCUUGAAAUGACACCUCUCGCAACCCAAAGGAACUGCAGUGUUAUGCAACCACAUAACCGGAGGUUGAAUGAGGGACAUGGUAAGAUGAGCCUUUUCUGUUAUAUAACCCUGCUCAGUGUUCCAAAGCAAAAAAUUAUGCCUUCAGAGCCCCAGAUGAAUUUCCUCCAAGAUCUCUCAGGACAUCCCCAGAUCUAA